rnacentral:lncRNA from 1 species
ACUACUAAAUCACGCCUCAUUGCUUCGCGCUUCUCUCUCGCAAUAUUACUGUUCAUCUUCUUGCUUCUCUGCUACGUUUCUCAAGCAAACUUCAACAAAUCUUUAUUUCGUUCGUAAUGGCUGUUUCACAAUCCCAAUUUGGUGACUCUUUCAGUUUCGAAGACUUCCAGAAACUCCUCACUCGGCCAUAUAUAACUCCGAACUUCCUUGCACCAGCCAAUGCCGAACUCAACGAGUUCUAACUAGGUCCUUCAUUCAACAACGCCGAGGCCGUCGAACAAGUGGCGGUGGGCCAGCUGUUCCCUUGUACUCAAGGCCCUCCGUUUCUAAACUCUUAGCCGCUGAGGCCACUUCGCAAAAGAGGUAUUCGCACUUGGCCUAAAUCUGAUGUUGUUUUCCGUAGAUGACAUACUCGCCUUGUGGACCAUGGUCCUACCAAGGCAAUUUUUGAUAGUGUUAGGAUUUUUGAUUUACUAGAAAUCUCUCUUCAACCCCCUACUUUUGAUCCAGCGCUUUUCCCUAUUACUUUAAGUUUUUGGUCUUCUGAGUAUAAUACUUUUGUUUUCCCCUUGGUCCCAUGUCCAUUACUUUAAGGGAUGUCGGGGCCUUAGUAAAUCUGCCACCUUUGGGCGAUACCAUUUUCCUGGUAUUUUGAUUUCUGGUGUCGCC